rnacentral:rRNA from 1 species
AACGAAGUGGGAAGGCAUAGACAGUCAGGAGGUUGGCUUAGAAGCAGCCAUCCUUUAAAGAAAGCGUAAUAGCUCACUGAUCGAGUCGUCCUGCGCGGAAGAUGUAACGGGGCUAAGCCAUAGACCGAAGCUGCGGAUGUGUACUUUUAGUACACAUGGUAGGAGAGCGUUCCGUAAGCCUGUGAAGGUGUUCCGUGAGGAAUGCUGGAGGUAUCGGAAGUGAGAAUGCUGACAUGAGUAGCGAUAAAGGGGGUG